GACGAACGCUGGCGGCGUGCCUAAUACAUGCAAGUCGAGCGAAGUUUUUCUGGUGCUUGCACUAGAAAAACUUAGCGGCGCACGGGUGAGUAACACGUAAAGAACCUGCCUCAUAGACUGGGACCACUAUUGGAAACGAUAGCUAAUACCGGAUAACAGUAUUUCUCGCAUGAGAGAUAUUUAAAAGUUGGUUAUGCUAACACUAUGAGAUGGCUUUGCGGUGCAUUAGCUAGUUGGUGGGGUAAAGGCCCACCAAGGCGACGAUGCAUAGCCGACCUGAGAGGGUGAUCGGCCACACUGGGACUGAGACACGGCCCAGACUCCUACGGGAGGCAGCAGUAGGGAAUCUUCCGCAAUGGGCGAAAGCCUGACGGAGCAACGCCGCGUGAGUGAAGAAGGAUUUCGGUUCGUAAAGCUCUGUUGUUAGGGAAGAAUGGAUAUGUAGUAACUAUACAUGUAAGAGACGGUACCUAACCAGAAAGCCACGGCUAACUACGUG
rnacentral:rRNA from 1 species